rnacentral:rRNA from 1 species
UACGGAGGGUGCAAGCGUUAUCCGGAUUCACUGGGUUUAAAGGGUGCGUAGGCGGCUGAUUAAGUCAAUGGUGAAAGCUCACAGCUUAACUGUGAAACUGCCAUUGAUACUGGUUGGCUUGAGUACGAUUGAUGUGGGCGGAAUACAUCAUGUAGCGGUGAAAUGCUUAGAUAUGAUGUAGAACACCGAUUGCGAAGGCAGCUCACAAAAUCGCAACUGACGCUGAGGCACGAAAGCGUGGGGAGCAAACAGG